rnacentral:rRNA from 1 species
UACGUAGGGGGCUAGCGUUGUCCGGAAUCAUUGGGCGUAAAGCGCGUGUAGGCGGCCCGGUAAGUCCGCUGUGAAAGUCGGGGGCUCAACCCUCGAAAGCCGGUGGAUACUGUCGGGCUCGAGUACGGAAGAGGCGAGUGGAAUUCCUGGUGUAGCGGUGAAAUGCGCAGAUAUCAAGGAGGAACACCGAUUGCGAAGGCAGCUCGCUGGGACGUUACUGACGCUGAGACGCGAAAGCGUGGGGAGCAAACAGGAUAGAAACCCUAGUA